UUCUUCUGUUCUAUUUUCUCACAGCACUGAUGUUCCAAGCAAGUCUACCUAAGACGCUUUGGGGUGAGUGUGUACUAACUGUUGCAUAUUUAAUCAAUCGCAUACCAGUAAGUGUUUUGCAAAACAGAACGCCAUAUGAGGUGUUGCAUGGAAAGAAGCCAACAUAUGCACAUCUAAGGAGCUUCGGUUGCCUCUGUUAUGCGCAUGUGAAUAAUAAAAUACACGAUAACUUUG
rnacentral:misc_RNA from 1 species